GGCUGUCAGAAUUCCGUAGACUGGGAGGCUUAAACAAAAGAGAUUUGUUUCUCAUGGUUCUGGAGGCUGGGAAGUCUGAGAUCAAAGUGCCAGUAAGGUUCCUUUGAAAUUUGUCAGAUGUUCUUCUGGAUUGUGUUUUUCUUCAAACAAAGCAAGAAUAAGACUUGAAAACAAAUUAUGUCAGCAGUGUGCCAAGUCUUGUUGCAAGAGAAAGAGACCACGGGUUAACAAUUUAAAAAUAAAGAUUUUGCUAUUUAAAAACA